AAUGAACGUUGGCGGCGUGGAUUAGGCAUGCAAGUCGUGCGAGAAAUUCCGACUUGUCGGAAUGGACAGCGGCGAAAGGGAGAGUAAUACGUAGAAAUCUGCCCUCGGGUCUGGGAUAGCGUCGGGAAACUGGCGGUAAUACCAGAUAAUGUCUUCGGACCAAAGGUGUGAUUCCGCCGGAGGAUGAGUCUACGACCUAUUAGCUAGUUGGCGGGGUAAUGGCCCACCAAGGCGACGAUGGGUAGCGGGUGUGAGAGCAUGGCCCGCCUCACUGGGACUGAGACACUGCCCAGACAUCUACGGAUGGCUGCAGUCGAGAAUCUUUGUCAAUGGACGAAAGUCUGAACAAGCGACGCCGCGUGCGGGAUGAAGGCCUUCGGGUUGUAAACCGCUGUCGUAAGGGAGCAAAUCUAUUGGGGUUCUCCCCUUUAGUUGAGCGAUCUUAGGAGGAAGGACGGGCUAAGUUCG
rnacentral:rRNA from 1 species